AGUGAACGCUGGCGGUAGGCCUAACACAUGCAAGUCGAACGGCAGCACAGUAAGAGCUUGCUCUUACGGGUGGCGAGUGGCGGACGGGUGAGGAAUACAUCGGAAUCUACUUUUUCGUGGGGGAUAACGUAGGGAAACUUACGCUAAUACCGCAUACGACCUACGGGUGAAAGCAGGGGAUCUUCGGACCUUGCGCGAUUGAAUGAGCCGAUGUCGGAUUAGCUAGUUGGCGGGGUAAAGGCCCACCAAGGCGACGAUCCGUAGCUGGUCUGAGAGGAUGAUCAGCCACACUGGAACUGAGACACGGUCCAGACUCCUACGGGAGGCAGCAGUGGGGAAUAUUGGACAAUGGGCGCAAGUCUGAUCCAGCCAUACCGCGUGGGUGAAGAAGGCCUUCGGGUUGUAAAGCCCUUUUGUUGGGAAAGAAAAGCAGCAGGUUAAUACCACGCUGUUCUGACGGUACCCAAAGAAUAAGCACCGGCUAACUUCGUG
rnacentral:rRNA from 1 species